AGCAGCCGCGGUAAUUCCAGCUCCAAUAGCGUAUAUUAAAGUUGUUGCAGUUAAAAAGCUCGUAGUUGAAUUUCGGGAUCAAUACGUCGGUCGUGCCUCCGGUACGUACUGGCGUCGUUGAUUUCUCCCUUCUGAUGAACCACGAUGUCAUUAAUUUGGUGUUGCGGGGAGUCAGGACUGUUACUUUGAAAAAAUUAGAGUGUUUAAAGCAGGCAAACGCCUGAAUACAUUAGCAUGGAAUAAUGAAAUAGGACGUUCGAACCUAUUUUGUUGGUUUCUAGGAUCAACGUAAUGAUUAAUAGGGAUAGUUGGGGGCAUUAGUAUUCAAUUGUCAGAGGUGAAAUUCUUGGAUUUAUUGAAGACUGACUACUGCGAAAGCAUUUGCCAAGGAUGUUUUCAUUAAUCAAGAACGAAAGUUAGGGGAUCGAAGACGAUCAGAUACCGUCGUAGUCUUAACCAUAAACUAUGCCGACUAGGGAUCGGAUGAAGUUAAUUUUUUAAUGACUCAUUCGGCGCCUUACG
rnacentral:rRNA from 1 species